rnacentral:rRNA from 1 species
AGCGAACGCUGGCGGCAGGCUUAACACAUGCAAGUCGAGCGGGCAUCCUUGUGGUGUCAGCGGCAGACGGGUGAGUAACGCGUGGGAACGUGCCCUUCGGUUCGGAAUAACUCAGGGAAACUUGAGCUAAUACCGGAUACGUGCGGGAGCAGAAAGGUUUAUCUGCCGAAGGAUCGGCCCGCGUCUGAUUAGCUAGUUGGUGAGGUUAUGGCUCACCAAGGCGACGAUCAGUAGCUGGUCUGAGAGGAUGAUCAGCCACACUGGGACUGAGACACGGCCCAGACUCCUACGGGAGGCAGCAGUGGGGAAUAUUGGACAAUGGGGGCAACCCUGAUCCAGCCAUGCCGCGUGAGUGAUGACGGCCUUAGGGUUGUAAAGCUCUUUUCUUCGGGACGAUAAUGACGGUACCGGAGGAAUAAGCCCCGGCUAACUUCGUG